GGCGGGGUGGUUGGAAGGGGGCAACCGUUUCCUUAGUCAUGGCAAAUUGUUACCAAAUGGCUGUUAAUACAUUUGAUGUUCAGAAAACUUUUUCCAACCACCAAAUUGCAAGGAGAUCCUGGAACAAUCUCCCAGGAAAGGCAGAAGGACCAAAACUUAAUCAGGCUCUGAAAAAGAUGCAUCCAGUCCUAAAGGCCUUUGUGUGUGGCUCCAUCAGUGGGACUUGCUCCACACUCCUCUUCCAACCCCUUGACCUGCUGAAAACCCGCCUGCAAACUCUGCAGCCUGCUGUGAAUGGGUCCGGUCGUGCUGGGAUGGUAACGCUUCUUUUCAGGGUUGUUCGUACUGAGAGUCUUCUGGGGCUCUGGAAAGGUGUCUCUCCAUCCUUUGCAAGAUGUAUUCCUGGGGUUGGGAUUUACUUCAGCACUUUGUACAUGAUGAAGCAAAAGUUUCUAGUGGACCGUUCACCCACAGCCCUGGAGUCUGUCUUUCUGGGUGCCACUGCACGUGCAAUAUCUGGGAUUUGCAUGUUGCCAGUGACUGUAGUGAAGACCCGAUAUGAGAGUGGAAGAUUUGGCUAUGGGAGUGUAUAUGGAGCUCUGAAGAAUAUCUAUCAGACAGAAGGGGCUCGUGGCAUGUUCAGCGGGCUCACCGCAACGCUGCUGCGGGACGCACCCUUCUCUGGGAUCUACCUGAUGUUCUACACACAGACCAAAAAAUUCACACCUCAGGACCAGUUGGAUCCGGUGCUCAUGCCCUUGCUGAAUUUUGGCUGUGGGAUCUUUGCAGGAAUCUUGGCCUCACUGGCAACACAGCCUGCUGAUGUCAUCAAAACACACAUGCAGUUGUCCCCCCAAAAGUACCGCAGGACAAGCCAGGCCAUUGCCUUCAUUUACAAGGACUUUGGAUUGGUCGGCUUUUUCCAAGGUGGUGUGCCCCGUGCCCUCAGGCGGACUCUGAUGGCAGCAAUGGCAUGGACAGUGUAUGAACAGAUGAUGGAAAAAAUGGGCUUGAAAUCUUGACUGACUUGCACAGAAAUGACCAGCUUCACUCCUCCUGCUUGCUGUGAUCAACUGGCACUAGGAAGUUCCCAGUUCCACAGAGGAAUAAGCCUUGCUCAGCCAGGAGGCAGAAAACCCUUCUGAGACAGGGUGUUAGGCCUUUUGGCAAGAGACGAAAGAAGGAUUGGAUCUUUGCAUCAUUUAUCAAUGCAUUCCAGAAGAUUGCACUUGCAGAUUGCCACAGGAAAUGGCAGGGUUUCCACAGCCUGAUGUUGCCUAGAUGAUGCAUUCUUACAUGGAGCGAUUUUUGUGAAGAAUUAUCUGUGUGUAACAGACUUACCAGGUGGUCCUGAUGUGCAGCUUUGUGCCCGCUGAACCCGAACUGCUUAUGCAGGUACCUGAUAACCAAAUUAGGCUGGCGAUAGCGCCCGCUGUUAAACUCCAGGCUCCCCAGAGCUCUCCUGCUGCUUGGAGAACCACCUUCAGUGUAGGGAGUGUUUCUGCUCAUGCUGCCGAGAGCUGCCCCAGCUGUGAGAAGAGAUAGCAGACAGGCUCGCUAACCCUCUUGGGUGGUGGAGAGUGGGAAAGAUAGAAAAGGAACAGUUUAAAGGCACUGUCCUUGUAAUAAAAUGUUGAAUUACGGAUAUUCCUUUCACCUAAAAACCAGGCAAAUGCUUUGCUUGCUUUUUUAAUUUUUAUUUUUUAAUGUAUUAUGUGCCAUGCAUAAUGACCGAUACCAGUACUGAGCAGAAAAUAUUCCUCAUCUCUCACACACACAUAUAUAUGGGUACUUUCGCAAAACCAAUAUAGAGCUCUUGCCUAUGCUUAUUGCUUCUGGUUUCAAAAUAUCGAGCUGAUUUUCCACAUUGCACUGUUUCUUAAUUUCCAAUUUUAUCACUAUAACAUGCUUUGGGAGAUUUUAUCAUAAUGCAUUAAGGAAUUUUAGUAAAAAUGACAAACCCCAGUAAGAGGUUAAAAUGAGACUUCCACAAGUUUUCUGACAGAUGUUAGGCAAUUCUGGCUUUCUAGAACUAGAAAUAAGAAGGGAAUAGAUUUGCUGCAGUAUGUUUCCCCAAAACAUGAAAGAAAUAGUUACGAACUGAAACACAAGCCAAUAUGGUAUUUUACAAAAAGGCACAGUAUUGUGCAGCUUCUGUAGAGGUGAGUUGAUCUCCGUGGGUUCCUCUUUGUCUUCUGGAGGGCCCAGCUCCAGGGGUGCCACACCCUCUCUUAGAUGAUGCCCACUGGCACUUUGGGUGGGACAGAUACUGCCCAAACAUCUUCCUUCCUGAGCGUCUUCCCGAGACACCAUUCGAUCCAUUUGCCACAGACAGAGAACCCCUCCACUGCAGUGCAGUGGCUCUCCCACCACUGGGGUGUCCUGUUACAGCCCCCUGCUCCGGUUUGUGGGGGAAUAGACUGAAUUCAAGGAGAAAGCCACCGGUACAUGCUCUAUACUAAAAUUGUUAUUUGGCAUUUCUGUGUGUCCCAGUAAAUAUGUGGCUUAAUUGCGUAUGUCUCAGGCCCAUAGAUUUGGGAAAUGCUUUUGGAUUUUUCACACAGUUUUCUGCCCGCACGUUUCAUGCUUGAUGUGGUUUGUCUGUUGCACCCCCCCUGCUUUUUUUUGCUUUUUUUUUAAAUUAAAGCAUCAGAAGUUUCCAUAUUCCCUUCAGGAUUGCAGAUGAUCCUCUGCCAAAUGCAGCUCUUCUCUUGUGACACUUUGUGAUCUGACCCAAGUGCUGACCCUUGCCACUCUAUUGCAGAGUUCCCCAAGGCUUUGGGAGCAGUUCUCUGGUGAGGCAGAGAGACGAUUUGUUAUGCUCCAGGCUAUGCACCAGACAUGCUGCUGACAUACGGGGACAAGGUCCUAACUGUGAGCCGCCGGAGCUCAGCAGGAGCACGGGAAGCUCUGCCGCUCUGGCAGGUCAGGCGUGGGCACAUACAGUAUGAACCUGCUUGUGCUUCACUGGGACUGGGUAGAGGAAUCAAGGCUCAAGCAAAACAAUUCCCUUGCAAUUGAAUAAGGCGAGUAAAAUCCAAGCAGAUGAAUCCGUAUAAUAAUGGGGGCCUUUUGGGGUGCACAGCCAUGCAUGCCCAUCAGGUAAAUGCCAGAUUUGCAUACAGAUGUAGCCACUGAAUGUCUUGCUUUUUGUUUUCUAGGACCUGAGUGUGGCUGAGCUGGCUUCUGCAAGCCCAGUUCAGCCCAUGGAGUGGGCAUGCUACAGAAGCCAUGCCCAGGUAAGCUGUCCUAGCUGUCUGCAUGGGAAGGGAUGGGGCAAGCGCCAUCCCGCCCCCUCUCCGUGCCCUCCCAAACCUCUCCAGCACACCAAACCAGGGCAGCUCAAACAGGAACAGCCCUGGCUGUGGCCUUGGCCACCUGGGUUACUCAAAAAUUUUGCCCACCGUGUGUGUUGUUCCCUACAGCUGUAGGGUAGCCUGUGAUGAGAAUGGCAGGGUGCAUCGCUCCAGGGGCUCUUCCAAGCAUUUCACCAGUUGCUGUCAGUGGCUGACAAUAGUUUGCACGACAGAAGUAGGAAUAUCUCUAUCCUUCCCAUUCAAGCUCAUUACAUUUAAUAUCAGCUUCAAUAUCUUUGUAAUCAGAUGUGGUGUUUAAGCUGGAAGAAGUUUCUCUUGGUUAAGGAAUAUUUUGAAGCUAACUCAACUUUUAAAAACAAUGUCUGUCACACUCUAUAUAAUUAUGUAACCAAGUUCAGUGUGAAUAGUGACAGGGAGACAUGGUCUAAAAUACACGAUAAGACAGAUACAUUUCUACCUGAGGGAGGUGUUCAUUAGUGACAAAGGUUUAUUUUAAAGUCUCUCAGCAUGCACUUAAAAAAUAAACCAAACUUUCAGGUUGCUUAAGAAAAUAAUUAAGAAAUACUUUACUGUCAAGCUUUAGCAUGACUCUUCCAAGCCCUCUCAUGGGCUGUGGAGCUUGUGGUCUACCAGAAAGGGCCCAAACUGUAGCAACAAGAAAUAAGUAAAGUAUCAGAGAUUCCAGAGGAGUCUGAAAUGCUUACCAGGAUCACUCCUUUGAUAACACCAUAUUUACUGUAAUAUUUGUUACUGAACUUCCAAUCAUUAUGUUCAAAUAUAAUCAAACAUAACUGUAUUAAAAGUAUGCAGAAGAGCUCUCCUAACUACAUCCAUUGCACACCCUUCAGUAACACCAUCACCUCCCCUCUCACCUCCUCCCCUCCACCCAAGCUACUACUCACAUCGUGCUCCUGAUAGGAGAUAUGGGUUGCACACAGCCCCAACAGGUCAGCUCUCACUACCCACAGCACACUUAUCAAAGUGCCACAAAAGUCUAUAAUCUGUUAGGUACCUGUGUAAUAGUUCAUGUUCUUGCUGAGAGCUCGCUUAACUAUUUGCUGCGUUUCGUUUUACCUACCUUUGUCACCACCACGUGGCAAAUGUGUGAAUUAUUCUCUUAGAGAAUAUUCUAAAACUGCUCUGGUAAUCUUGCUAAUUAAGAUCAUCUAACAUGCAUACAGAAAAGAACAGUGUGAGGCCCAGCUCUUGACUUGCAGGUUGAAGUUUUGUGUGAAUGAUGGAAAGUGACUGACAGUAAAUGCACAAACUGCUGCUCACCAAAACAGGACAAGGUCUCAUUGUACAGGAAGUGAAGAACAUACAUGAGAUGAUGAUGUGACCUCCUACUUAAAUAAUCUUCUGCACAGCAACUCAGUGAGCAGUCAUUGCAAAGGGGCUAUCAGGAGGUUCGAUGCCCAACCACACUGCUAUAGUUAUAUUUGGUUAAAAUAGAUGAGAAAACUAAAGGAGCGCUGCUGUUAGAAAGACAUGAACAUGAAUUAUUACUUGCAGAAGGCACUGGCAAUAGUGUCUGCACUUGUGUUGGGUUUGUGUGGCAAGGUUUUGGUAGCAGGGGGGGCUACAGGGGUGGCUUCUGUGAGAAGCUGCUAGAAGCAAACCCUGUGUCUGAUAGAGCCAAUGCCAGCCGGCUCUAAGACAGGCCCGCCGCUGGCCAAGGCUGAGCCAAUCAGCGCCUCUGUGAUAACAUAUUUAAGAAGGAAAAAAACAGAGCUUUUUGCAG